rnacentral:rRNA from 1 species
GAUGAGUCUGCAUCCUAUUAGCUAGUUGGUGGGGUAAUGGCUCACCAAGGCUGUGAUGGGUAGCGGGUGUGAGAGCACGACCCGCGUCACUGGGACUGAGACACUGCCCAGACACCUACGGGUGGCUGCAGUCGAGAAUCUUCGGCAAUGGACGCAAGUCUGACCGAGCGACGCCGCGUGCGGGAUGAAGGCCCUCGGGUUGUAAACCGCUGUCGGAGGGGAUGAAAUCGUGGUGGGUUCUCCCACCUCGUUGACAUAGCCUCAAAGGAAGUGUGGGCUAAGUUCGUGCCAGCAGCCGCGGUAAGACGAACCACACGAACGUUAUUCGGAAUUACUGGGCUUAAAGGGUGCGUAGGCGGCGCGGAAAGUAGGGUGUGAAAUCCCUCGGCUCAACCGAGGAAUUGCGCCCUAAACUACCGUGCUCGAGGGAGAUAGAGGUGAGCGGAACUUAGGGUGGAGCGGUGAAAUGCGUUGAUAUCCUAAGG